CUGAUCAACGCGUCCGGGUCAAUUGCGGACUGCAACACCCGAUCUCUCUGAACGUGCCGUCGGAGAUGGCACUCGAGCAGGGAGAGCGCGUGACAGUCAG
rfam:Halostagnicola sp. A56, whole genome shotgun sequence.